ACACAUGAAGUUGUGUUAAGCAAUUCAACAUGUGAACUCAAGAUUACUAGUUGUAAUUUCCAAGAUGGUAAUGGGAGUAGUGGAAAUAAUGUUGAGAGUAUUUCUGCUUUUAUGGGUACCUUAAAACCAGGGACCCCUGGUCCAGGUGGACACCAUAUUGGAUCUUCAAGAAAAUAUAGAGGUUUUGGUAGCCCUAUAAGAAAAGGGUCACCUGGACCUGGUCCUGGAGGACACCAUAUUGGAUCUUCAAGAAAAUAUAGAGGUUUUGGUAGCCCUAUAAGAAAAGGGUCACCUGUGAAUUUAUCAAGAAAAGCAGGGUCUGGAUUUAGUGGUAUUAUUUCUAGGCCUAAGGCUUCUUCUGGUGCAGAUUCUCAUGGUUUUUCAGCUCUGAAUU
rnacentral:lncRNA from 1 species